GACGUAGAGCGCGAGCGUUGUCCGGAUUUAUUGGGCGUAAAGAGCUCGUAGGCGGCUUGUUGCGUCAGCUGUGAAAACCCACGGCUUAACUGUGGGCUUGCAGUCGAUACGGGCAGGCUAGAGUUCGGUAGGGGAGACUGGAAUUCCUGGUGUAGCGGUGAAAUGCGCAGAUAUCAGGAGGAACACCGGUGGCGAAGGCGGGUCUCUGGGCCGAUACUGACGCUGAGGAGCGAAAGCGUGGGGAGCGAACAGG
rnacentral:rRNA from 1 species